AACGAACGCUGGCGGCAUGCCUAACACAUGCAAGUCGAACGAGACCUUCGGGUCUUUGGUCCCACGACUUCGUAACGCGUGGGAACCGUCCCUUAUGUUCGGAAUAACUCCCCGAAAGGGGUACUAAUACCGGAUAAUGUCUACUGACCGAAGAUUUAUCGCCCUUGGAUGUUCCAGCGUUGGAUUAGCUAGUUGUUAGGGUAAAAGCCUACCAAGGCGACGAUCCAUAGCUGGUCUGAGAGGAUGAUCAGCGACACUGGGAGGGAGACACGGCCCAGAAUCUUCCGGGAGGCGGGAGUGGGGAAUAGUGGAAAAUGGGCGAAAGCCUGAUCCAGCAAUGAUGCGUGAGUGCUGAAGGCAUUAGGGUUGUAAAGCUCUUUUAACCGGGAUGAUAAUGACAGUACCGGGAGAAUAAGCUACGGCUAACUCCGUG
rnacentral:rRNA from 1 species